rnacentral:tmRNA from 1 species
GGGGCUGAUUCUGGAUUCGACGGGAUUUGCGAAACCCAAGGUGCAUGCCGAGGGGCGGUAGGCCUCGUAAAAAGCCGCAAAAAAUAGUCGCAAACGACGAAAACUACGCUUUAGCAGCUUAAUAACCUGCUUAGAGCCCUCUCUCCCUAGCCUCCGCUCUUAGGACGGGGAUCAAGAGAGGUCAAACCCAAAAGAGAUCGCGUGGAAGCCCUGCCUGGGGUUGAAGCGUUAAAACUUAAUCAGGCUAGUUUGUUAGUGGCGUGUCCGUCCGCAGCUGGCAAGCGAAUGUAAAGACUGACUAAGCAUGUAGUACCGAGGAUGUAGGAAUUUCGGACGCGGGUUCAACUCCCGCCAGCUCCACCA